CCUACGGGGGGCUGCAGUAGGGAAUAUUGGGCAAUGGAUGCAAGUCUGACCCAGCCAUGCCGCGUGCAGGAAGAAGGUCCUCUGGAUUGUAAACUGCUUUUGUCGGGGAAGAAUAGGUCUCUUGCGAGGGAUUGUGACGGUACCCGAUGAAUAAGCCACGGCUAACUACGUGCCAGCAGCCGCGGUAAUACGUAGGUGGCAAGCGUUGUCCGGAUUUAUUGGGUUUAAAGGGUGCGUAGGUGGUUUGCUAAGUCAGUGGUGAAAGCUGGUUGCUCAACAAUCAAGUUGCCAUUGAUACUGUCAGACUUGAGAGAAGUGGAGGCUCAUGGAAUGGAUGGUGUAGCGGUGAAAUGCAUAGAUAUCAUCCAGAACGUCAAUUGCGAAGGCAGUGGGCUGUACUUUUUCUGACACUGAGGCACGAAAGCGUGGGGAUCAAACAGGCUUAGAUACCCCUGUAGUC
rnacentral:rRNA from 1 species